AUAUGUAGGGGGCGAGCGUUGUCCGGAAUGAUUGGGCGUAAAGGGCGCGUAGGCGGCCCGGUAAGUCUGGCGUGAAAGUCCUGUUUUUAAGAUGGGAAUUGCUUUGGAUACUGUCGGGCUUGAGUGCAGGAGAGAUAAGUGGAAUUCCCAGUGUAGCGGUGAAAUGCGUAGAGAUUGGGAGGAACACCAGUGGCGAAGGCGACUUACUGGACUGUAACUGACGCUGAGGCGCGAAAGUGUGGGGAGCAAACAGGAUUAGAUACCCUGGUAGUCCACACUGUAAACGAUGAAUGCUAGGUGUAGGGGGUAUCGACCCCUUCUGUGCCGCAGUCAACACAAUAAGCAUUCCGCCUGGGGAGUACGGCCGCAAGGUUGAAACUCAAAUGAAUUGACGGGG
rnacentral:rRNA from 1 species